UCUGUUUAGAGUAACUAUAUUUUGUCUCCACUUUUUAAGUUUAUCACUUUAUCAUGUAUUGGUUUAAUUUCCCCUGUACCUGUCACCUUGCAAGCAGAAGUAAGUUUUAAUUACAUGCAUCAUCCUGAACUACUUUGAAAAAUCAAAUUCUGACUAGUUCUAAAUGUAGUUUUCUUUCUUCAUUUUUUGUUUUGGGGACAUGACUCUUCUUGAAGCAGAUAGGAGAGUGUUAGGCUCAAGAGUUUGAACACUUAAACAAAAUCUAACUUCUGCUAAUUAUUUCUUCCUAACAAGGAUUUUUCCUCCCUCAAACACUGCAGAAACAAUCCACUACCUCAUAAUGAACAUAUUACUCACCACUUCUCUAUCUAUUUUUACACAAAUAACUCUCACCACAAGUAGAUAACUGUGUUACAAANAAUGGAGACCACUCAAAUAAUUGUCAGACCAAAUAGUGUACUGUCCUGUAACAUUCAGCAAUAACUAAUUAGACAUCAUAAGAUUCCAUUGUCCUUUUAUUCCUCAGGACCCAUUUUAUGAACAGGAUAAAAUAUGAUAAUUGUUCUAUCAUAUUGUAAUGGGUAAUGAUACUUUGACAACUUGCUUUUGACAAAUUUUUGACACCCAAUACGUGUCACGAUUUGAUUAGUCCAUGUGUGAAAAAAAANUUAAAAACCAAAAUGACAUGGAAAUGAAGGGCUGCAGAGAUUUUUAAGGGUUUCAAGUCGCNGACUUAAUUUAGGGAUUUCAAAAAUAAAACAUUACUUUAACUUGAGUGAACCCUAGAGAAAAAGAGCAGUCGAAGCGUCUUGUGAGCAAAACCUUACUUUGACGAAGUUUCUACCGUUCAGCGAAUCGUGACCGUCCAUAGAAGGACUUUCUGCCGUCGUUCUGCUGUUUGGAAGCAGCAAUGGCCACCUUUCCACCGCCUUUNUGUCGUUCUGCCGCCGUUCAUUUCGCCAAUCCUUAUUGAACAAAGUCUCAAAUAGUGAAUGAUUUGGGUGUUACAAACAAGCUCUUUCAGCUUAGUUACAUAUUAGGAGAUGUUGAAAAGUUUGCAACAAAGAUGAUGCUUUCUGUUGUUGAACAUGAAGUUUCAUGGGUCUUUUGCAACCUGGACCUGGACCUACUGAACAUAGAGCCAAGGCAGAGAUGCAUUGCUAUUUUUCUUGUGACCCUCUAGUGUAUCUUCCUUGUGAUGAAACUGACCAUGCUUCGUAGAAUUCUGUCUCAUUGAAGACUGAGAGGGAGAAGAAGAAAGAGACGCCAUGGACGCUAUCCAAGUUUUAAAUAUUNAUUGCUUCCAUAGCGUCCAGCUUUUAAGUUAUGCAGUUACAAUUCUUCCCCACUUGAAAUUAUGUGUUCCUAGCUCACCUCAUUUGAGUGCCUGAA